GAUGAACGCUGGCGGCGUGCCUAAUACAUGCAAGUCGAGCGAACAGAUGAGGAGCUUGCUCCUCUGACGUUAGCGGCGGACGGGUGAGUAACACGUGGAUAACCUACCUAUAAGACGGGGAUAACUUCGGGAAACCGGAGCUAAUACCGGAUAAUAUAUUGAACCGCAUGGUUCAAUAGUGAAAGACGGUUUUGCUGUCACUUAUAGAUGGAUCCGCGCCGCAUGAGCUAGUUGGUAAGGUAACGGCUUACCAAGGCAACGAUGCGUAGCCGACCUGAGAGGGUGAUCGGCGACACUGGAACUGAGACACGGUCCAGACUCCUACGGGAGGCAGCAGUAGGGAAUGUUCCGCAGUGGGCGAAAGCCUGACGGAGCAACGCCGCGUGAGUGAUGAAGGUCUUCGGAUCGUAAAACUCUGUUAUUAGGGAAGAACAAAUGUGUAAGUAACUAUGCACGUCUUGACGGUACCUAAUCAGAAAGCCACGGCUAACUACGUG
rnacentral:rRNA from 1 species